rnacentral:rRNA from 1 species
AUACGGAGGGUGCAAGCGUUAAUCGGAAUUACUGGGCGUAAAGCGUACGUAGGCGGUCCGUUAAGUUAGAUGUGAAAGCCCCGGGCUUAACCUGGGAACUGCAUUUAAAACUGGCGAACUAGAGUUGAGUAGAGGGGAGUGGAAUUUCAGGUGUAGCGGUGAAAUGCGUAGAGAUCUGAAGGAACACCAGUGGCGAAGGCGACUCCCUGGACUCGAACUGACGCUGAGGUACGAAAGCGUGGGUAGCAAACGGGAUUAGAAACCCCGGUAGUCC